rnacentral:rRNA from 1 species
AACGAACGCUGGCGGCAUGCCUAACACAUGCAAGUCGAACGAGACCUUCGGGUCUAGUUGCGCACGGGUGCGUAACGCGUGGGAACCUGCCCUUAGGUUCGGAAUAACUCCCCGAAAGGGGUGCUAAUACCGGAUAAUGUCUUCGGACCAAAGAUUUAUCGCCUUUGGAUGGGCCCGCGUUGGAUUAGCUAGUUGGUAGGGUAAAAGCCUACCAAGGCGACGAUCCAUAGCUGGUCUGAGAGGAUGAUCAGCCACACUGGGACUGAGACACGGCCCAGUCUCCUACGGGAGGCAGCAGUGGGGAAUAUUGGAAAAUGGGCGAAAGCCUGAUCCAGCCAUGCCGCGUGAGUGAUGAAGGCCUUAGGGUUGUAAAGCUCUUUUACCCGGGAUGAUAAUGACAGUACCGGGAGAAUAAGCUCCGGCUAACUCCGUG